rnacentral:rRNA from 1 species
AUGUGGGAAGAAUGCUUGCCUCAUAUUGAGUUUGCUUAUAAUCGUUCAUUGCAUUCUACUACUAAGAUGUGCCCUUUUGAAAUUGUGUAUGGUUUCCUACCUCGUGCACCUAUUGAUUUGUUGCCUCUUCCAUCUUCGGAGAAGGUUAAUUUUGAUGCUAAACAACGUGCUGAAUUGAUCUUAAAAAUGCAUGAGUUAACUAAGGAAAACAUUGAGCGUAUGAAUGCUAAAUAUAAACUUGCUGGAGAUAAGGGUAGAAAACAUGUUGUGUUUGCACCUGGAGAUCUUGUUUGGUUACAUUUGCGUAAGGAUAGAUUUCCUGAUUUGCGCAAAUCAAAGCUAAUGCCACGUGCUGAUGGUCCUUUUGAGGUGUUAGAGAAAAUAAAUGAUAAUGCAUAUAAACUUGAGCUGCCUGCAGAUUUUGGGGUUAGUCCCACUUUUAACAUUGCAGAUUUGAAGCCUUAUUUGGGUGAGGAAGAUGAGCUUCCGUCGAGGACGACUUCAUUUCAAGAAGGGGAGGAUGAUGAGGACAUCAAUACCAUUGUUACACCCACAGCCCCUGCUGCUAUACAUACUGGACCAAUUACUAGAGCUCGCGCACGCCAAUUAAAUUACCAGGUACUUUCGUUUCUUGGUAAUGAUUCUAAUGUUCAUGAGAAUAUGAUGCUGCCUAAAUUGGAUACAUUUGUUUUGCUUACAAAUGAAGGGCCUAGCUUUGAGAAGGAUGAACAUUGGAGCAAGAACAAGCAUGGAGAUGAUGGCAUGCGCAUGGGGAACAAGAACGGAGUUACAAGUGAUGAUUUCAGGACGUUGAAGCCACCAUAA